rnacentral:rRNA from 1 species
CCCAUGGCAUAUCAUUGAAGUUUUAUAAACGGAAAGAUGGACAGCUCAGUAAUACUCACUUAAUUUUAUGUAUUUUGUAUAUAACUACGUUAAAGUGUAGAUAAAAGAAAUACAGUAAGAGUGAGACCUAUCAGCUAGUUGUUAAGGUAAUGGCUUAACAAGGCAUUUACGGGUAACGGUAUUACUUUGUAAUAUUCCGGAGAAGGAGCCUGAGAGAUUGCUACUAAGUCUAAGGAUUGCAGCAGGGGCGAAACUUGACCUAUGGAUAUAUUCUGAGGCAGUUAUGGGAAGUAAUAAUAAUUGUUUCGUAUUGUAAAAAGAUAUGGAUAGAUUAAUUGGAGGGCAAAUCAAGUGCCAGCAGCCGCGGUAAUACUUGUUCCAAGAGUGUGUAUGAUGAUUGAUGCAGUUAAAAAGUCCGUAGUUUAUUGUUAAGAAGCAAUAUGAGGUGUACUGUAUAGUUGGGAGAGAGAUGAAAUGUGAAGACCCUGACUGGACGAACAGAAGCGAAAGCUGUACACUUGUAUGUAUUUGUUGAACAAGGACGUAAGCUGGAGGAUCAAAGAUGAUUAGAUACCAUUGUAGUUCCAGCAGUAAACUAUGCCAACUAUGUGAUAUGUUUUGUAUGUAUUAUAUUAUAGAAAUUAGAGUUUUUUGGCUCUGGGGAUAGUAUGAUCGCAAGAUUGAAA